rnacentral:lncRNA from 1 species
UGCAAAGGAUUCAGAAAAUGAGCAGAGCAGACCCUGAGGGCUUAGCUGGAGACAAGGCCACCAAAUAAUUUAGAAUUAUAGCAUAAUUGCACUUUGAAAAAUCAGAAAAAUCUCAGUAUAGUCUUAAGAAUGUAAUUGACUGUUCAUAAUUUGUAACAUUGGAGAGAUUUCUUCAGGUAAGAUACUUCUUUUUUUUUUGCAAGACACGUUCUCCAUCUUGUGUUUUGUUUUAAAUAAAGCUUUUCUUUGCUAAUUGUCCUUUUCUUUUUCUUCUCACCAAGUAAUUAAAUAGUAGUUGAGCCUAGUUAUUUCCCUGCUCUGAAAAUAUUUUAUUGGAUUGCAUGAGAUGUCCAAAAGGGGAUAAUUGGAGGGCUUGUAGAUACUGAUAUAAGAAGAUAUUUCUAUGGAAACCAGACCUUGCAUUAUGGAAGAGAGAUACCACAACACACAUCGCUAUCACAAUGACAGCUGUAACCUUCCUUUCAAAGUGAACAUUUGAUCCUGAAUUGCUUUCAUUUGAUCUUUUCUAGCAGAAAAAUCUGCUGUGUAAACCCUGUGGUGGACAGGAUGGCAUACAAACUCCAUUAACGCAGAAAAAGUUUGGUGCAGAAAAAACAGUGAGCGAGCUACAGGAUUUAAACUGCCUUUAAAUUCAGGCUCUGUGAUCAUGCUAUGUGAGGACUUCUUAAAUCCAGACGAGUCAUAUAGUCCUCGGAGCCUGCCCGGAACACAGCCAUGCUGCCAUGCGUGGGAAGACGAGAUGGUGCGCUUCCACACCACACCGAAAGGUGAAUGCAGUGAAACCUUGCAGUGCCUUGUGUGCAGCAGGACAAGACACAGAGCCAGUCAGCACCCCUGUGAGGCUGCUCAGUUGCAUAGAAUCACGCAUGCCCCUCCAGUCUGAAUAUGGAACAGCACUAAUUAGGACUUGGACAAUAAAAGCCUUGGCCAAAGACCACAAGGACUUCACAUACCUGCAGAAAUGGGGAGAGCUGGGGAAGAUUACUAGGCUGUGUAACAGUCUAAAGAAGGUACCUAUUUCCUUGGCCACCCCUAUCUUGUUUUGCUCUCAGGCAGCUGCUUUGGAGCUGU